AUUUGUUUAAUAAUUAUACGGUACUUCUUUUGAUGAUAUAUUGACCUUUUAUUGAAAUAGGUGACUGCGUCCGUUCUAUAUUUCAGCGUGUGUCGCACCAUCUAGUCAGAAGUGAUGCCCCGUACAAUUGUGUUAUUAUGAUGCACUUGCUUCGUGGCUGAACUGGAUCAUUGUCCACAGAAUCCACCAUGCAACUGGAAGUGCCCCACCAUGCAACUGGAAGUGCACCACCAUGCAACUGGAAGUGCCCCACCAUGCAACUGGAAGUGCCCCACAAUGCAACUGGAAGUGCCCCACCAUGCUACUGAAAGUGCCCCACCAUGCAACUGGAAGUGCCCCACCAUGCAACCGGAAGUGCCCCACCAUGCAACGGAAGUGCCCCACCAUGCAACUGGAAGUGAUUACCCAUGCAACAAUGCUCCAUCAGAGGCCGUGGCCAUGCCCCAAGAAGAAAACACAGACCUGGCUUUGGCAUAGAGCGCUUUUGGAGUUGGCCAUGGGGACGCCUUACUGAUGACACAAUGGACUGAUGUCUCACUGGAUCAGAGAAAACAAUGGAUGCUGUUUCACGGGAAACACUAUGGAAACGAAAAUUCAGGAUUUGUGUUUAUUGACAAGACCAUUCUACAUUGACUUUAUGUGACAUUCUUAU